AGGGUUCGAUUCUGGCUCAGAACGAACGCUGGUGGCGUGUCUUAUACAUGCAAGUCGAGCGGUCCGCAAGGAUAGCGGCGAACGGGUGAGUAACGCGUAAGCAAUCUGCCCCGCAUAUUGGGAUAGCCGUGCCAACGCGCGGAUAAUACCGAAUAACGUGGCCCCGGACAUCCGGGGUUGACGAAAGAUUCAUCGAUGCGGGAUGAGCUUGCGUCCGAUUAGCUAGUUGGCGGGGCAACGGCCCACCAAGGCGACGAUCGGUAGCCGGCCUGAGAGGGUGAUCGGCCACAUUGGGACUGAGAUACGGCCCAGACUCCUACGGGAGGCAGCAGUAGGGAAUAUUGCACAAUGGGGGGAAACCCUGAUGCAGCAAACCGCCACGUGUGGGAAGAAGCAUUUCGGUGUGUAAACCACUGUCGUGAGGGAAUAAUACGCGGUUUCGGCCGCGGGGGAAUGUACCUCGAGAGGAAGCACCGGCAAACUUCGUGCCAGCCGCCGC
rnacentral:rRNA from 1 species